rnacentral:rRNA from 1 species
GACGAACGCUGGCGGCGUGCUUAACACAUGCAAGUCGAACGGAAAGGCCCCUCUGGGGGUGCGUGAGUGGCGAACGGGUGAGUAACACGUGAGUAACCUGCCCUUGACUUCGUGUUGACUUCAGUAAACUGGGGCGAAUACCGGAUAGGAAUGCUUGCUUCAUGGAUGGUGGGGGAAAGCUUCGGCGGUUGUGGGUGGAUUGGCGGGCUGUCUGCUUGUUUGUUGGGGGGUGGCUGACCAAGGCUUUGACUGGUGGGCGGCCUGGGAGGGAGAACGGCCAACAUGGGACUGAGAUACGGCCCAGACUCCUACGGGGGGCAGCAGUGGGGAAUAUUGCACCAUGGGCGGAAGCCUGAUGCAGCAACGCCGCGGGCGGGAUGACGGCCUUCGGGUUGGAAACCGCUUUCAGCAGGGGCGAAGCUUGUGGUGACGGUACCUGCAGAAGAAGCACCGGCUAACUACGUG